AUUGAACGCUGGCGGCAGGCUUAACACAUGCAAGUCGAGCGAGCGGCGGACGGGUGAGUAAUGUCUGGGAAACUGCCUGAUGGAGGGGGAUAACUACUGGAAACGGUAGCUAAUACAGCAUACCAUCAGAUGUGCCCAGAUGGGCUUAGCUCGGAGGUGGGGUAAAUGCUCACCUAGGCGACGAUCCCUAGCUGGUCUGAGAGGAUGACCAGCCACACUGGAAGUUGGACCCGGGCCAGCCUCCGACGGUAGGCAGCAGUGGGGAAUAUUGAACAAUGGGCGCAAGCCUGGUGCAGCCAUGCUGCGUGUGUGAAGAAGGCCUUCGGGGUGUAAAGCACUUGCAGCGAGGAGGCGUUACUCGCAGAAGAAGCACCGGCUAACUCCGUGCCAGCAGCCGCGGUAAUUC
rnacentral:rRNA from 1 species